GCAGCCGCCACGGUAAUACGUAGGUGGCAAGCGUUGUCCGGAAUUAUUGGGCGUAAAGCGCGCGCAGGUGGUUUAAUAAGUCUGAUGUGAAAGCCCACGGCUCAACCGUGGAGGGUCAUUGGAAACUGUUAAACUUGAGUGCAGGAGAGAAAAGUGGAAUUCCUAGUGUAGCGGUGAAAUGCGUAGAGAUUAGGAGGAACACCAGUGGCGAAGGCGGCUUUUUGGCCUGUAACUGACACUGAGGCGCGAAAGCGUGGGGAGCAAACAGGAUUAGAUACCCCAGUAGUCCCUGUCUCUUAUAC
rnacentral:rRNA from 1 species